rnacentral:rRNA from 1 species
ACACAUGCAAGUCGAACGGUACAGGAGAAAGCUUGCUUUCUUGCUGACGAGUGGCGGACGGGUGAGUAAUGCUUGGGAAUCUGGCUUAUGGAGGGGGAUAACUACGGGAAACUGUAGCUAAUACCGCGUAGAAUCGGAAGAUGAAAGUGCGGGACCGCAAGGCCGCAUGCCAUGAGAUGAGCCCAAGUGGGAUUAGGUAGUUGGUGGGGUAAAGGCCUACCAAGCCUGCGAUCUCUAGCUGGUCUGAGAGGAUGGCCAGCCACACUGGAACUGAGACACGGUCCAGACUCCUACGGGAGGCAGCAGUGGGGAAUAUUGCGCAAUGGGGGGAACCCUGACGCAGCCAUGCCGCGUGAAUGAAGAAGGCCUUCGGGUUGUAAAGUUCUUUCGGUAUUGAGGAAGGUUGAUGUGUUAAUAGUACAUCAAAUUGACGUUAAAUACAGAAGAAGCACCGGCUAACUCCGUGCCAGCAGCCGCGGU